UCCCUGACUCCUUGAGAGUCCUGAAGGAACGUUGAAGACGACGACGUUGAUAGGCCGGGUGUGUAAGCGCAGCGAUGCGUUGAGCUAACCGGUACUAAUGAACCGUGAGGCUUAACCUUACAACGCCGAAG
rnacentral:rRNA from 3 species